CCGCAUUUCCCUUUUCCAAGCUGAUAAACAGCCAACGACAGCCGCCACCAACAGAAGCAGCAUCGUCGUCUUCUCCUUUUAUUUGCUUUCUUAUUCUGUAAGUACUACUUGUUUAAGGUAUAUAGAAUCAGUUAUGGGUGACCUAGAGGUGAAAACAUACAUUUCUUGGCAGAUCUACAGAAAAAUCGUUUUGGGGCAGAGAACUGGGGAAAUCAUUAGGCGAGAUUUGGGACAAAAUUAGGGAUUAUAUUGGUUUAAUUGGACUCUAUUGUCGUUUAAUUUAGCACUCUUUUGUUGUUUGAAGAUAAUUGAAGAUAAAAUGAAGAGAAACAAAGGGUACAAGUGAUUGAGAAAUUACCGUGUUCGUGGUCAGAGUAUAAACGAGGAUUGUGACAUGAAAUUGAAAAUGAACAUGGAUACCAGGAGCAUGUGGAUGAAUAUAAGUCUUCCAAAGCUGACAAAGGCGAGAACAUCAAACGCAACUCUAAGCGUAGUCUUCACAAUAAAGAAGACCAUUAUGGGAACUUACUGGAUUCUGAGUCUGAAAAGGAACAAGAAGGUGAAGAUGAUGUUGUUGGGGUGGAGAAGGCUUCGGUUGAGUGUAGUGGUGUUACACAUGACAAUUCAGAGUUUGAGAAGGAAUAUGCAGAUCACCUUAAGAAAGAAGAUAAGCAGGAUAUGUUCCCAGCUGAAGAUGAAGAGUCAUUGGAUCCAAAAGACCUCAUAGUUGGAAGUAAGUUUAUGAGUAAAGAUUCCUUUUAUGCACAUGUGAAUAACUAAUGUAUCAUGAACAAACAUCAGACUUAUGCUACUAAGAGUUCCACAACCAAGCUGAGGCUCAAGUGCAUUCAUUGGAGGACUCAAGAAUGUCCAAUGUUCAUUUAUGGCAUGGUCAAGAAAGGUGAAGGUAAGACUUUUACACUUAGAGACUUUAUUGUCACUCAGACCUGCAAUGGUGACAAAGAUGACUUGAACAAGCUUGCAACACCAAAAUAUGUAGCUGACUGGUACUAUGGGAAGAUCAAAACUGAGCUUGGAAUUAAUGAACCAGUACCAUGUCCAGAUGACUUAGCAAUACAGUUCAAUAAAGCCAGGAAAGUUAAUAUAAGUGUCUAUAUAAUUUUAGUAUGGAACAAUCCCUAAAAAUAUUCACGAACAGACUAUUUUUUUUUUUUGUAAUCUGA